UACGAAGGGGGCUAGCGUUGCUCGGAAUUACUGGGCGUAAAGGGCGCGUAGGCGGCGUAACAAGUCACUUGUGAAAUCUCCGGGCUUAACUCGGAGCGGUCAAGUGAUACUGUUGUGCUAGAGUGCGGAAGGGGCUACUGGAAUUCUCGGUGUAGCGGUGAAAUGCGUAGAUAUCGAGAGGAACACCUGCGGCGAAGGCGGGUAGCUGGGCCGACACUGACGCUGAAGCGCGAAAGCUAGGGGAGCGAACGGG
rnacentral:rRNA from 1 species